rnacentral:lncRNA from 1 species
UUUGGUGGUACAGAGGUGUUUAUUAAAAGUGUGCUUCAAAGCAUCCCUCGUUAUAUUUUGUCAGCAAUUGUUCCCUCUAAAAGUGUUAUCACAGAGUUCGAGAGAAUUUUUGCAAAAUUUUUUUAGUAGAAUAAGGAGUCGGGAAGAACCAGACAUUGAAUAAAAUGGAAUAGACUGACACUACCCAAAAAAGGAGGGAUAGGUUUCAGGACUCUUUUAGAGGUGGCUUAGGCUAUGCAUGCUGAACUAUGGUGGAGGUUUAGAACUCAAAAUAAUGUGUGGACCAAUUUUAGGUGAAACAAGUGUUGUAAAAAGCAGAUUCCAACUGUUGUACAUUGGAGGGGUGGGUCUCAAGUGUGGAAGGCCAUGUUGGAAAACAAAGACAAACUGGAAUAAUAUAUAUGGUGGGAGCCUAGAGGUGGAACAUCUACUGUGUGAUUUGAUGAUUGGACUAAUAAUACUGAUCCUUUAUUUAAACAACAGUCUCAGUUUUAAACUUGUCAUCCACUGUCUGAUAUUUCCAACUUCCUAAAUGAUGAAGGUUGGAACUAUGAUGCUAUGAAAGAUGAAGUGCCUGGUGAUGUAGUGGAACAUGUAAGAGAGUUCAUGAACUAUGUUUGUUUUGAAGAUAAAAUGGAUAAGCCUUGGUGGACAAGAAAUAGUACUGGCAGAUUCUCUGCUAAAUCUGCGUGGGAUUUACUAAGGCAUAGGAAAGAGAAGGAUGAAAAUAUGAAAGCAAUUUGGGUUAAAGGGUUACCUUUCAAAACCUGCUUUUUAAUAUGGAGAGUUUGGAAAGGUAUGAUUCUAGUUGCUGCUUUAUUGAAUAGCUAGAAUUCUGAAAAUUGUGUGUGCUGUGUUACACCUUCCAGAGAAAUAAUUUCACACCUUUUCUUUUCAGGGGAGAUUGCUGUAAAAGUUUAGAAUUAUUAUUCUACUGGGAUAGGGUUAAUAGAGUCAAGGUUAAACUUGAAACAAACUGUGAGAAUGUGGAGAAAUCAUGGUGGGAAUUACAGUGAAAGAACUGUGUAUAAUGUUGUGCCUUCUACUAUUAUAUUGUUCUUGUGUAAAAGAAGAAAUACAAUUAGACAUGGUGGAUCUUAUUCGAAAAGAAAGUUAUUCUGAGAGAUUAAUGAAACUAUUGUGAGAUUUAUAAAGCUUAAAAAUUUCAUGUUGAAGUGACAGGAAGAUAGUUGGUUAGGAUAGUUGAUGAACUGCAAGCAGUAAAGACGGCGACUUCUUUAAGUUGAUUUCAUGGUCUCCUCCACAAAGUGGCUGGCUAAAAGGGAACACAGAUGGAGCUUCAAAGGAAAAUCCUGGUCCUAGCUCUAUUGCCUUUUGUAUGAGGGAUGAGCAUGGAAACCUAGUGGUAGCUCAAGAAAUCAAAAUAAAAAACAUCACAAGUUUGGAGGCUGAGGCACUAGCUAUUAGGGAAUGUCUAAAAUAUUGCAGCACAAAUUUCAUAAAGCAAAUUAUUUUAGAAAGUGAUUCUUGGAUAAUGGUGUAGAUUUUGAACUCACACUGAGAAAUUCCAUGGAGGAUUACAAUAGUGAUUAAAUCCAUCAAGGAUUUGAUGGAAAUGAUGUCAGUUAGAGUGAUACGUUCCCGUAAAGAAGGUAACACUCUAACUGACUUUUUGGCUAACUUUGUGUUUAAUUAUGUAUGUAAUUUUCAAUGCAAUUAUGAGGAGCAAUUAUCAAGUUAAGGCGGAGCUAUUUUUGCACUGCACAAAGCUGGAAUUCCUAAGAUCAGAAAAAUGGUACAAGAAGAUACAAAUCACUAACAUGCUCAAAAAAUUGCAAAAUUAAUUCAAAAUCAGCAGAUGAAAAGCAACAAUGGCAGAAACAUACUUCAACAACAAACAACAUGCAAAGUAAUUUAAAGGCAAGGAUUAAUAGGAACAAGAACCUGAUAGCAGCAAUUAACGUUCUUCAGUUUAGCUCAAUACAGUUGAGACGCUACUCUGGAAAAUUAGAUGCAACCUAGAUUGAAGCCAGAAUAGAGGUGUAAAUAGAUUGUAAAAUAUAUAAAUCAGGGAUUGACAUUGAGAAUGAUUAAAUCUGCAGUUGAAAAUGAGUUCUUUUGAAUGCAACAACUACAUCCAGCGAGAUUUUUGAAUGUCAAUGCAUUCAAACAGUAGAAAAAUUGGAUCUAAAUAUGCAAUCCCUUGAUAUAUAUAGUAAUAAUCUAUAACACUAAACAACUUAAAUCUCUUAUUUUUUCUUGAAUCUAAUCUUUAGUAAGAUGGUGGUAUUAGCUUCUUUGAAGCUCAACCCAUUAACUACGGAUUAAAUGAAAAGGAAAAGAGGAACUUACCUUCAAGAAAUCAGGUGACAAGCUGGAGACAUGGUCAAGAGCAUGGGAGUUAAGGAAGUCGAUGGUGGAGCCAUGGAUUCCGAUGAAGGCGGCGGCCGAUUUGAUUUCCUCUUUUGACUGAUCAGACCCUUUGUCUUAUUUGGGUUUGUUUUUUGUAUUUGAUUUGCAUGGACUCGGGUCCUCUCUUUAUGGGCUGAUCUUUGAUUCAUUUGUUUUUGUUUAUAAAAUGAGCUAAAAGAUC